UGACACAGGGAGGUAGUGACAAGAAAUAACAAUACGGGGCUUGGAGUCUUGUAAUUGGAAUGAUGGGAAUUUAAACCCCUUCCAGAGUAUCAAUUGGAGGGCAAGUCUGGUGCCAGCAGCCGCGGUAAUUCCAGCUCCAAUAGCGUAUAUUAAACUUGUUGCAGUUAAAAAGCUCGUAGUUGAAUUUCUGCUGUUUCGUUGACUGCGUUUGGCGUUUGUCAUCGUUGCGGCUUGGUUGGGUUUCGAUUAUUCGUUUCCCGGCGUUUACUUUGAGAAAAUUAGAGUGCUUGAAGCAGGCUUUUGCCUUGAAUACUUUAGCAUGGAAUAACGGAGUAGGACUUUGGUUCUAUUUUGUUGGUUUUAGGAGCCAGAGUAAUGGUUAAUAGGAACAGUUGGGGGCAUUCGUAUUUAAA
rnacentral:rRNA from 1 species